GAGGGUGCUAAGGUAGCGAAAUUCCUUGCCUUUUGAUUGUGGGCCUGCAUGAAUGGUUUAACGAGGGUUUAACUGUCUCUAAAUUUUUUAUUGAAAUUGUACUGAAGGUGAAGAUACCUUCAUUUAAAAGUUAGACAAAAAGACCCCGUGCACUUUGAAAAUUGACUUUAUUCAGGAGUAAAAGAUUUUUAGGUGGGGCGCCUAGAAAGCAAGUCUAACCUUUCUGAAUAACUAACUCUUUCCGGAUUUGACCCGAUUAUAUUCGAUCAUAGGAGAAGUUACGCCGGGGAUAACAGGCUAAUCCUUUAGUAGAGUUCGUAUUGGCUAAAGGGAUUGGCACCUCGAUGUUGAAUCAGGGAUAAUAGCUUCAAGGCGUAGAGGCUUUGAAAGUAGGUCUGUUCGACCUUUAAUACC
rnacentral:rRNA from 1 species